ACCAUCUUUUCCCAUCGCGUCGCCGCCACCCACUCACCAUCUCCAUCGGAAUCCUCCUAGAUCCCCUUCUCACCCAACCAGCUAGCUCCUUCGAGCAUCCCUCAAUCCCCUCCAGAACCGCAAACAACCACCUCCUCCCUGUUCGAUCUAGAGGAGUGGAGCUCCUCCGCGCCCAUAGGCUCUCCCGCUUGAGGGCUCCAUGCUGUCUUCGCCAAGCUCCAGGAGCUUGAGCCCCUUCUCCCGCGCCCCUGCUCCACCUCAUCGUCGGAUCUCCAUCGCCGUACCACCAAUCCAUGGGCCCGAGGAGCCCCUGCGCCGUGCUCCUCCCUUGCCGCAAUAGGAGAGCAUCCCCGAGCUCUUCCCCAACCUCCUCACGUCGCUGCCUUGUCAGCUCUACCUCGCCCGCGCGUUGCCAGGUCGUCCGUCCGCCAGAGCGUGCCCCGCCUCGACCUCGGCGGUGACCAUCGACACUGCCGCACAAUGACAGGAGCUCCAUCCCCGAACGCCUUCGCGCCUCCGACCUGAACUCCUCUUGCGCCCGCACCUGGAGCCAUGGACGCCUCAAGCUAGGUUUGACUUGCCGCCCUAGUUUCCUCGGCCUCGUCGUCGCGCCUCCGAAGACCGGCCUCGUCGUCACCGGAGACCCCAGGCUAGCCGCCGCCGCGCUAAGUUCCCUGCUCCACGCCGGACUCGGCUUCCUCGUCGUCUCCAGCAACGGCCAGAGCGCCAAGUCCCUCCGCCUCGCCCCGCUUGCCCGCGCCAGUUGUCGCCGGCGGCCAUCUCCAGCCCCUCCUCUACUUCGUUCUACGGGGAGGACGAGGUGCCCAUGCCUCGCGUGGUCAGCGCCGCCACUCUGAACCUCGCGCUCCCCGCUCGUUCUGCGUUGACCGCAGCCACACCGUACGUGGGCCUCCUCUUGCAGCGCCUCAAGGCCCAGCCUGCUUCCCCUCAAGAUCCGGCCUGCCAAGCCUCUUCCCCGACUGGGCUUGGCCCAUGUGAGCAACAACCCUUCUCUCUAUCGGGCCAACCAGAUUCGGCCUGUUUAGGUUUUUUCCCAGAUCUGUGAAUUUAGUUAUUUUUUCCAGAGUUGACAGAUUUGCAGAAAAAACCCUAAA